GGUUCUUAGCAGAAAUUAGGCUGUUGGGUGUGGUGAGUUGAGCCCAGUACUGACAGCCUGCUUAAAGUUUCACCCCCAGAGGACGAAGAGGUCAAGAACCUUGCAGAAAAGUUGGCCAGGUUCAUAGCGGACGGGGGUCCCGAGGUGGAAACCAUUGCCCUCCAGAACAACCGUGAGAACCAGGCAUUCAGCUUUCUGUACGAGCCCAAUAGCCAAGGGUACAAGUACUACCGACAGAAGCUGGAGGAGUUCCGGAAAGCCAAGGCCAGCUCCACAGGCAGCCUCACAGCACCCGACCCCAGCCUGAAGCGCAAGUCCCCUCCUGAGGCCCUGUCAGGGUCCUUACCCCCAGCCACCACCUGCCCUGCCUCAUCCACGCCUGCCCCCACUAUCAUCCCUGCUGCAGCUGCCCCCGGGAAGCCAGCCUCCGCAGCCACCGUGAAGAGGAAGCGGAAGAGCCGGUGGGGGCCUGAAGAGGAUAAGGUAGAGCUCCCACCUGCUGAACUGGUGCAGAGGGACGUGGACGCCUCUCCCUCACCUCUGUCAGUUCAGGAUCUCAAGGGGCUCGGCUACGAGAAGGGGAAGCCUGUGGGUCUAGUGGGCGUCACAGAGCUGUCGGAUGCCCAGAAGAAGCAGCUGAAGGAGCAGCAGGAGAUGCAGCAGAUGUACGACAUGAUCAUGCAGCACAAGCGGGCUAUGCAGGACAUGCAGCUGCUGUGGGAGAAGGCGGUGCAGCAGCACCAGCACGGCUAUGACAGCGACGAGGAGGUGGACAGCGAGCUGGGCACCUGGGAGCACCAGCUGCGGCGCAUGGAGAUGGACAAGACCAGGGAAUGGGCCGAGCAGCUGACAAAGAUGGGCCGGGGCAAGCACUUCAUCGGAGACUUCCUGCCUCCAGAUGAGCUGGAAAAGUUUAUGGAGACCUUCAAGGCCCUGAAGGAGGGCCGUGAGCCUGACUACUCAGAGUACAAGGAGUUCAAGCUGACUGUGGAGAACAUUGGCUACCAGAUGCUGAUGAAGAUGGGCUGGAAGGAGGGCGAGGGGCUGGGCUCGGAGGGCCAGGGCAUCAAGAACCCGGUGAACAAGGGCACCACCACAGUGGACGGCGCCGGCUUCGGCAUUGACCGGCCAGCAGAGCUCUCCAAGGAGGACGACGAGUAUGAGGCGUUCCGCAAGAGGAUGAUGCUGGCCUACCGCUUCCGGCCCAACCCCCUGAACAACCCCAGACGGCCUUACUACUGAGUGUUCUGGAAAUACAUACUUUCUGAAUGACCAACCGUCCCUGGACUGUGGAAUGUUCCGGCCUGCAUUUCUGCCCACCCCUCCCGUUGUCACGAGUGCCGUGCCGUGUAAUAAAGUCCCAGUGCUCAUCCACCA
rnacentral:sRNA from 1 species